rnacentral:rRNA from 1 species
GAGUUUGAUCAUGGCUCAGGAUGAACGCUGGCGGCGUGCCUAACACAUGCAAGUCGAGCGAUCUUCUUCGGAAGAGAGCGGCGGACGGGUGAGUAACGCGUGGGUAACCUGCCUCAUACACAUGGAUAACAUACCGAAAGGUAUGCUAAUACAAGAUGAUAUAAGAGAUUCGCAUGGAUUUCUUAUCAAAGCUCCGGCGGUAUGAGAUGGACCCGCGUCUGAUUAGCUAGUUGGUAAGGUAAUGGCUUACCAAGGCGACGAUCAGUAGCCGACCUGAGAGGGUGAUCGGCCACAUUGGAACUGAGACACGGUCCAAACUCCUACGGGAGGCAGCAGUGGGGAAUAUUGCACAAUGGGCGAAAGCCUGAUGCAGCAACGCCGCGUGAGCGAUGAAGGCCUUCGGGUCGUAAAGCUCUGUCCUCAAGGAAGAUAAUGACGGUACUUGAGGAGGAAGCCCCGGCUAACUACGUG